rnacentral:rRNA from 1 species
UACGGGGGGAGCAAGCGUUGUUCGGAUUUACUGGGCGUAAAGGGCGCGUAGGCGGUCAGCACAAGUCAGUUGUGAAAUCUCCGGGCUUAACUCGGAAAGGUCAACUGAUACUGUGCGACUAGAGUGCGGAAGGGGCAACUGGAAUUCUCGGUGUAGCGGUGAAAUGCGUAGAUAUCGAGAGGAACACCUGCGGCGAAGGCGGGUUGCUGGGCCGACACUGACGCUGAGGCGCGAGAGCGUGGGGAGCAAACAGG